UUGCCGCUCGGGAAGGCGCCAGGCCCCGAUGGAUUUACCAUUGAAUUUCCCUGGAGUGCUUGGGACGUGAUCAAGCAUGACAUAUACGCCGUCUUCGACAAACUCUAUGCGCUCAACGGGCAUGGUUUCCAGCGGCUUAAUGAGGCGCUCCUCACCCUUCUUCCAAAGAAGCAAGAUGCGGCGUCUCUCUUUUACUAUCGCCCCAUUAGUCUCAUUCAUCUCAUCGCAAAGCUGUUCGCGAAGGUGCUCUCUCUACGGCUGGCACCCCAUUUGGGCAAGAUGGUUUCCAUGAAUCAAAGUGCAUUCAUUGAUGGCCGAAGCAUCCACAACAACUUCCUCCUUGUCCAACAAACGGCUAGACUUCUUCAUAACGUCAAGAAGCCGUAG
rnacentral:rRNA from 1 species